CACAAGGGGUGAAGCCUGCGGUUCAAUUGGAGUCAACGCCUGAAACCUUACCCGGAGAGACAGCAGAAUGAAGGUCAAGCUGAAGACUUUACCAGACAAGCUGAGAGGUGGUGCAUGGCCGUCGCCAGCUCGUGCCGUGAGAUGUCCUGUUAAGUCAGGUAACGAGCGAGAUCCCUGCCUCUAGUUGCCACUAUUACACCCUGGUGUAGUAGGGCGAAUUAGGGGGACCGCCGCAGUUAAUGCGGAGGAAGGAAGGGGCCACGGCAGGUCAGUAUGCCCCGAAACUCUGGGGCCACACGCGGGCUGCAAUGGUAACGACAAUGAGUUCCAAAAUCGAAAGAUGGAGGUAAUCCCUAAACGUUACCACAGUUGUGAUUGAGGGCCGCAACUCGCCCUCAUGAACAUGGAAUCCCUAGUAACCGCGUGUCAUUAUCGCGCAGUGAAUACGUCCCUGCUCCUUGCACACACCGCCCGUCGUUUCAUUGAAGUUUGCCUUUAGCGAGGUGAUGUCUAAUUGGCAUUAUCGAACUUGGGGUAAGUGACAAGGGAAAAGUCGUAACAAGGUGACCGUAGGGGAACCUGCGGUCGGAUCACCUCCUU
rnacentral:rRNA from 1 species